rfam:Schistocephalus solidus strain NST_G2 genome assembly, scaffold: SSLN_contig0012061
GCCCGUGGCUCAAUGGUAGAGCAUUCGACUCACAUACCAAAGGUCGCGGGUUCAAAUCCCAGUUGUGGCA